CCUACGGGUGGCAGCAGUCGAGAAUCAUUCACAAUGGGGGAAACCCUGAUGGUGCGACGCCGCGGGGGGGAAUGAAGGUCUUCGGAUUGUAAACCCCUGUCAUGUGGGAGCAAAUUAAAAAGAUAGUACCACAAGAGGAAGAGACGGCUAACUCUGUGCCAGCAGCCGCGGUAAUACAGAGGUCUCAAGCGUUGUUCGGAAUCACUGGGCGUAAGGCGUGCGUAGGCUGUUUCGUAAGUCGUGUGUGAAAGGCGCGGGCUCAACCCGCGGACGGCACAUGAUACUGCGAGACUAGAGUAAUGGAGGGGGAACCGGAAUGCUCGGUGUAGCAGUGAAAUGCGUAGAUAUCGAGAGGAACACUCGUGGCGAAGGCGGGUUCCUGGACAUUAACUGACGCUGAGGCACGAAGGCCAGGGGAGCGAAAGGGAUUAGAUACCCUUGUAGUC
rnacentral:rRNA from 1 species